UACGUAGGGUGCAAGCGUUAUCCGGAAUUAUUGGGCGUAAAGAGCUCGUAGGCGGUUUGUCGCGUCUGCUGUGAAAACUGGAGGCUCAACCUCCAGCCUGCAGUGGGUACGGGCAGACUAGAGUGCGGUAGGGGAGAUUGGAAUUCCUGGUGUAGCGGUGGAAUGCGUAGAUAUCUGGAGGAAUACCGGUGGCGAAGGCGGCAUCCUGGACCGGCAUUGACGCUGAGGAGCGAAAGCUAGGGGAGCAAACGGG
rnacentral:rRNA from 1 species